CCAGACCUUGACGGUUGUAACUGAUAGACUGGGUUGGGCACUGCUGAUGAAACUCACAUUCCUGAGAGAAAAAUCAUCCAAAUGUCUUCCCCAGCUUUCUAGAAGUCACUAUGAGGGGCCCCGACUAACUGAGGAGACUCAUACAGAAACCCCUGUCCCCAUCACAGCUACCUCAUUACCGUGUUCCUCCAAGAUGGUCACCUCUGAGGAGGACUAUCAGAGAAGAAAGGAAACCAAAGGCCCAUCAACAACAAAUUGAAAAUUGAAGUUGAAAGGCAAAUCUAAAGAUUUGGAUUCCCUUGAAGUGGCAGGUGCAUAAAAGCCUACCUCCUACUGCAAACCUCUGAAUUCCAACAACACCCCCUUCUUGGCUACGCGUCUCCAUCUGGAGUUUUAGCAACCAAAUAUCAGAGCCUGGCAGAUGGGUAGUUUUGAAUUUUGACUUCAUGUUUGGACCAAGAUGUCAUAUUUGAAAGGAAAGAAACCUCCCAACUACAUUCUCCUGUGAUCACCCAGCCUGAGGGGUGUGCCUUUAUGAGGUCAAGGCUUUCAGAGUUAGCAUUUCAGUGGUGAAUACAGAAGAAAAAUCAGUGCAGAUCAAGUAACAUGGAAAGAAAAAAAGAGACAGCACUAGAUACAGAAGCAGACAACAGGAAGAGAAAGCUCAAACCUUGGCCAAAACCACAUUACCCAAUGAAUGAAUUUGAAGUCCGGGUUUUCCCAACAAGUAAGUGAAGAAGAAGGAUGUGAACCCAAGUUUGGACAGCCUUUCCAACUCACGCUCAUUAUGGUCCCCUUUGUAAUCUUCACAUGGAGACUUGCCACAUGGACCUAACUGAGUACUUAACACUGUGUGCUGAUCCAUGUUUAGUGUUGGUAUUGAUGCUCUUUAUAUACCCCUAUGGUAGAUAAUUUAAGAAGUAAUAAACAUGUUUUAAAAAGUAGAAGAAAAAUGUUUAACCUCACAAGUUGUUAGAGAAAUGCAAAGAUAAAGAAGAAGGAGGCACUGUUUUACAUGUGCUAAUAAACAUUU